AUCAAAAAUAUUUAAGUAUUUUAAAGGGGUUAUUAAGGAUGACUAGCAAAUUUAUAAAAAAGGAGGUUCAAACCAAAAGCCAUCAAUACUAUUUUCUAUUACAAGUUUAAUCAGAAAUAGUGAACAGAAUUUGUGGCGAUCCUCAAGGGAAACCUUUUUAUUAUUACUUCCCGAAGUAAAACAUUUCAUUAGGGAAAGGAAAGGAAAUCAACCGAGACUCCGAAAGUAAUGGUGAGUGAAAUCGGACUAGCCUAAUCUUUCUUUUUUUAGCGAAGAUAGGAGUAAAAUAUUUUAAUUUUAUAAUUUUGUUAUAUUUUUAGAAUAUUUGAAACUGGUAGCGUUAUUAGUUUUUAUAAUUAAUAAUUCACUGUAAUUGGGUAGUGAUAAGUCCCGUCAAUAGAAAAAUAAAGAAUAAAAAAAAGAAAAUAUUAUUAUUUUCAAAGUGUUAAUAUCUACUAAAAAAAUAUGUAGGAUUCGUUUUAUAUAUUUACAAUAAAAUUUAUUAACGCGUACUAAGUACAACGAGAGAUAACUUGUUGGAAUAUAGGGGAACCAUCCUCUAAGGCUAAGUAUUUAUAAAUUUAGCGAUAGCGAUAAGUACCGUGAGGGAAAUGAUUGAAAAGAAAUGAGAAAUGGCUGACGCCUUAACUCUAUUGUGAAAAACAUAGUUGAAAUAGAAUUCAGAAUUAGUAACUCUAUAAGCAGUUGAAGUUUAGUCUGCGGACAAUAAAUAGAACGACAACGUACCUUUUGCAUAAUGGGUCAGCAACUUAAUAGUAGUAGCAAGGUUUAAAGCCUUAGCGAAAGCGACUGGGACAAUUUUGUUGUUUACGGGUUAGUUACUAUUAUUAGACCCGAAACUAGAUGAUCUUUCCAAGACCAGAUUAUAAUUGAUCGAACGGGUGAAUGUUGCAUAAUUCUCCGAUGAGUUUUGGAAAGCGGUGAAAUGCCAAUCUGAUCUAGUGAUAGCUGGUUUUCUACGAAACAUAUUACAGUAUGACAUCUAUUCAAGAUUUAUGGAGGUACAGCACGAAAAUCUCAUACAGGCUCACGGGUCUGUUUAAUUUGCGGGGGUGUAAAAGCCUUACCUUUGAGAAUGAAUCUCGGAAUUACAUAAAUUGAUGAUGGAUAUUCAGACUGCUCAUGCUAAGUUGGGUAGUCAAGACGGAAACAGCCGUCAACACAGAAUUAAGGUCCCGAAUGAUUAUUAAGUGAAAUUAAGGAUGUAACAAUUUGAAUGCAGCUGUAAAGUGGUCUUGGUAGUAGAUACUUAUAAUGAUCGUGUAACAACGCAUCAGCCCUUAGAAUGUUGCGCCGAAAAUUUAACGGGUCUAAAUAAUCAACCGAUAUUGUGUUAGUUUUAAAUAUAAUUAAAUAUAUUUAUAUUUAAGAUUUAGGUAGUAGAACAUUCAGAUAAUUGAAGAAACCGUAGACUGGCAGUGUUCCAUUGUCCUAGGUAUCUGAAGAGAUAAUGCUGACAUGAGUAACGUAAAGAAAGUUUAAUCUUUCUCGCCGAAUACGAAAGGGUUAUUAGUAAAGAUUAAAUCUACUAAUGUUAAUGCGGCCUCUAAGGUUCAAAACCAAUGUUUUGGCUGAUGAGUAUAGUAAGGAAAAGCCCUUCGAAGUAAUUUAUUUUAAAUAAUAAAAUAUGGGCCAGGAAAAACAACUUACUUAAGAAUAUAAUUUUAAUAAUUAUUUAUCUUAAAACACCGUACCCUAAACCGACACUGGUUCGUAGGUAGAGUAUACUAAGGCGUAGAGCUAAAAGUUGUAAAGGAACUCGGCAAACUAACCUCUUAAGUUCGACAAGAAGAGGGGCUAUUAAUCUUUAGAAUAAAUAUAAGACUUCUUCCUUAUUCUUUAUAUUAGUAGUGGCACAAAAAUGGGAGCCCCGACUGUUUACUAAAAACACAGCUAUCUGCAAAGACGUAAGUCAUAGUAUAGGUAGUGAGGUUUGCUCAAUGUCCGUAGCAUAAAAUUAGUAAUUGGCAACAGUUACGACUUGAAAGCCGGAUGAAUAGCGGUCUUAACUAUGAGGAUCACCUAAGGUAGCAAAAUCAAUUGGCCGUUAAAUGCGGUCCGGAAUCAAUAAUUUAACGAUGGCUCUGCUGUCUCUACAACUUGCUCAGUGAAAUUGAAUUGCACGUGCAGAUGCGUGCGCAACCAUCAGUGGGACGGGAAGACCCUAUGCAGCUUUACUGUAGUUAGUUAUCAUAAUUAAUCUACAACAACUUUAGUUACUAGAAAAUAGGUUAAGUCAAAUAUUUUGUUAAGUCAAAAUAGACGAAAGUUGGAAUACCUUAAGACUGAGGUUGGGUUAAAUUUACCUUCUAAUUGAAAAGUAAUUAGAUAGGGAUAGUUGACUAAUUGGCAGUUUUACUGGGGCGGUAGUCUUUGAAAGAGUAGCAAAGUACAUCCAGAUUUACUUAAACAAAUAUCUAACAAAUUUUAAUACGGUAAACUUAAAAAUUUACUAAUUUAUUUAUUAACGAGUAGUUAACAAGGUAUGCUAGAAGUUGAAUGGAGAUCAAUUAACCAUGUAAGGUUAUGUAUGGUGCAAUGGCGUAAGCAUGCUUAACUGAAAGACCUAAAAGUCGUACAGAUACGUAAGUAGGGCAUAGUGACCCCUCGCUAUAGUAUGGAAUUAGACGGGGAUCAAUUGAUAAAAGUUACGCUAGGGAUAACAGCCUAAUAGCCUGCGAGAGUACACAUUGUCCAGGCUGUUUGGGACCUCGAUGUCGACUUAUCUUAUCCUCCUGGGGAAAAAUCUGGGAAGGGUCCGGCUGUUCGCCGGUUAAAAAGUUACAUGAGUUGGGUUUAAUACGACGUGAGUCAGUAUGGUCCCUAUCUUCUGAUGGGACAAAUUGUAAAAGGGGAGAGACCUUCUAGUACGAAAGGACCAAUAGGAUGUGUAUCUCUAGUGUACCAAUUGUUGGUGAAACUUAAAAAAUUUGAGAAUUUUUUUUCUAGGAAUCAGCAUAGUUGGGUAGCCACAUACAUAUUAGAUAAUUGCUGAAUGUAUAUCAAGCGAGAAACUAUUCCCUCGAUACAAUCAUUAUGAUUUAAGAUAUAGAACAUAUCUUUGAUAGGGUGCAAAUAAAAUAAAUCCUAGCUUAUUAUUAAUUAUAAAUAAGAUGUUUAGUUAAGCACUACUAAU
rnacentral:rRNA from 1 species